UUCACAGAUGUCACAAGCAUUUAUUCAAUUUUAUUUUUUUUUAUUUGCUGUCAUUAUAUGGUAAAUAUGGUAAUUUUUUAUGUCUGAAAUUUUCCCUGAUUGCUUUAUGAUGCUGAGAAUCUGUUUCUUUUGCCUGCUUGAGGUUUCAGGCCAGUUCCAUUGUAAUUUGCAUUAGCUCCUAAAUAUAUUGAUGGAGGAUGGCUAUUGAUAAACUUUUAACCCG
rnacentral:misc_RNA from 1 species